CCUACGGGUGGCAGCAGUGAGGAAUAUUGGUCAAUGGCCGAGAGGCUGAACCAGCCAAGUCGCGUGAGGGAAGACGGCCCUACGGGUUGUAAACCUCUUUUGUCGGGGAGCAAAGAGAGUCACGUGUGACUCAUUGAGAGUACCCGAAGAAAAAGCAUCGGCUAACUCCGUGCCAGCAGCCGCGGUAAUACGGAGGAUGCGAGCGUUAUCCGGAUUUAUUGGGUUUAAAGGGUGCGAAGGCGGAGGUGCAAGUCAGCGGUAAAAUGGCGGGGCUCAACCCCGUACUGCCGUUGAAACUGGAGGACUAGAGUGCGGGUGAAGUAGGCGGAAUGCGUGGUGUAGCGGUGAAAUGCAUAGAUAUCACGCAGAACACCGAUUGCGAAGGCAGCAUACCGGGGCGCAACUGACGCUGAUGCACGAAAGCGUGGGUAUCGAACAGGAUUAGAUACCCCUGUAGUC
rnacentral:rRNA from 1 species